rnacentral:lncRNA from 1 species
CUUAUCGCAUUUUAAGAGCUCAGCCACAAUGCUCACGGACUUUGGUACGUAUGACUGAGCCUAAUUAUAUAUUAAAUCUAUUGUUGGGUUUCUUACUAUUAAAUCUAUUAUAGACCUACACCCCAGUAAAUUUAUUGGACUCAUCCAACUUAAUUUAUUAAUCUUCUAAAUCUAUUAUCACAGGAUAAAUAGUUGGACCUAUUUUAGUUAGUAAUAUAUAACCAACAUUAACUAUUUAUAUUAUUAUUUCAUUUUACCAAACAAUAUUUGUCAUGUUAGUAACUAAUAUUGUCUCUUUUUUUUAGAGAGAGAGAGAGAAAGGUAGCAAGUUAUUUGUUUCAUUUAUAUAUUAAAAAUAAACUCAGCUAAAAAUGUGAAACACCCAUCAAGCUCUUAACUAAUAACGUUUAAAGAAAUAAAAUGAAAAAUCAGAUAAGUGUUGGAAACUAUAUUGCAAUUAAUCCAUA